rnacentral:rRNA from 1 species
AAGAUGAAGGUUCUAUGGAUUGUAAGCUUCUUUUGUACAGGGUAAAAACGGGACGUGUCCUGUCUGCAAGUACUGUACGAAUAAGCAUCGGCUAACUCCGUGCCAGCAGCCGCGGUAAUACGGAGGAUGCGAGCGUUAUCCGGAUUUAUUGGGUUAAAGGGUGCGUAGGCGGUUUAUUAAGUCAGCGGUGAAAGUUGAGGCUCAACGUUAAAAUUGCCGUUGAAACUGGUAGACUUGAGUAUAGAUGAAGUAGGCGGAAUUAGUGGUGUAGCGGUGAAAUGCAUAGAUAUCACUAGGAACUCCGAUAGCGAAGGCAGCUUACUAAGGUAUAACUGACGCUGAUGCACGAAAGUGUGGGUAUCAAACAGGAUUAGAUACCCUGGUAGUCCACACAGUAAACGAUGAUUACUAGUUGUUUGCGAUAUACAGUAAGUAACUAAGCGAAAGCGAUAAGUAAUCCACCUGGGGAGUACGCCGGCAACGGUGAAACUCAAAGGAAUUGACGGGGGCCCGCACAAGCGGAGGAACAUGUGGUUUAAUUCGAUGAUACGCGAGGAACCUUACCCGGGCUUGAAAUGUAGAGGAAUAACCUGGAAACGGGUUAGCUAGCAAUAGUCUCUAUGUAGGUGCUGCAUGGUUGUCGUCAGCUCGUGCCGUGAGGUGUCGGCUUAAGUGCCAUAACGAGCGCAACCCACAUUGUUAGUUGCUAACAGGUUAAGCUGAGGACUCUGACAAGACUGCCAGCGUAAGCUGCGAGGAAGGUGUGGAUGACGUCAAAUCAGCACGGCCCUUACGUCCGGGGCGACACACGUGUUACAAUGGGUGGUACAAAGGGCAGCUACCGGGCGACCGGAUGCCAAUCUCAAAAGCCACUCCCAGUUCGGAUUGGAGUCUGCAACUCGACUCCAUGAAGCUGGAUUCGCUAGUAAUCGCGCAUCAGCCAUGGCGCGGUGAAUACGUUCCCGGGCCUUGUACACACCGCCCGUCAAGCCAUGGGAGCCGGGGGUACCUGAAGUACGUAACCGCAAGGAGCGUCCUAGGGUAAUACUGGUGACUGGGGCUAAGUCGUAACAAGGUAGCCGUAAGCUUGGAAUUCG